rnacentral:tRNA from 1 species
AAUACUAUGUCUGAUUAAAGUAAUAAAUUGUAAAUUUAUUUAAGAAAAUUAUAAUUUUCUAGUAUUA